GUUAAGUUCAGUCCUUGAAGACUGAAGUCGAGAAAGAUUCCACGUUAACAGUGCUAGGAUGUGGGUCAGUCGAUCCUAAGAUAGUGGCUUAUGCUUUGUCUCGUAUAUCGAAAGAGAAUAGGGUUAAUAUUCUCUAACGCAGACAAAGAGAUUGCGGUUCUUUAAGUCGCUUGAACAGUAACGUAUUCGAACUUGGUUACGUCGCUCAUACUAGCUUAUGCUUCGUAUCAUUGAGAGAGAAACGUUUUUUUUUUUCCUCUCGUGUAUCGAAAGAGAAUAGGCUUAAUAUUCCCUAACGCAGUCACAGAGAUUGCGGUUCUUUGAGUC
rnacentral:ncRNA from 1 species